rnacentral:rRNA from 1 species
CCUACGGGAGGCAGCAGUGAGGAAUAUUGGUCAAUGGGCGGGCGCCUGAACCAGCCAAGUCGCGUGAGGGAGGACGGUCCUAUGGAUUGUAAACCUCUUUAGGCGGGGAGCAAUGCCGGGCACGCGUGCCCGGAGGGAGAGUACCCGCAGAAUAAGCAUCGGCUAACUCCGUGCCAGCAGCCGCGGUAAUACGGAGGAUGCGAGCGUUAACCGGAUUUAGUGGGUUUAAAGGGUGCAUAGGCGGAUUUUUAAGUCAGCGGUAAAAUGUUCGGGCUCAACCCGGGCCGGCCGUUGAAACUGGGGAUCUUGAGAGGGCGAGAAGUAUGCGGAAUGCGUGGUGUAGCGGUGAAAUGCAUAGAUAGCACGCAGAACUCCGAUUGCGAAGGCAGCAUACCGGCGCCCGACUGACGCUGAGGCACGAAAGCGUGGGGAUCGAACAGGAUUAGAUACCCCGGUAGUC